GACGAACGCUGGCGGCGUGCCUAAUACAUGCAAGUAGAACGCAGUUGCGCACGGGUGAGUAACGCGUAGGUAACUGCCUGGUAGCGGGGGAUAACUAUUGGAAACGAUAGCUAAUACCGCAUACUACCAGAUGGACCUGCGUUGUAUUAGCUAGUUGGUGAGGUAACGGCUCACCAAGGCAACGAUACAUAGCCGACCUGAGAGGUGGAUCGGCCACACUGGGACUGAGACACGGCCCAGACGCCUACGGGAGGCAGCAGUAGGGAAUUUUGGACAAUGGGCGCAAGCCUGAUCCAGCCAUGCCGCGUGUAUGAAGAAGGCCUUCGGGUUGUAAAGGACUUUUGUCAGGGAAGCGGUACCUGAAGAAGAAGCACCGGCUAACUACGUGCCAGCAGCCGCGGUAAUAC
rnacentral:rRNA from 1 species